GGAGAGACAACACAAGAACAAGAAAACCCUAAACCUAAAAGUUUUUUUCCCCCUUGCAGCCGCUGAACCAAGCCAGCCCCCACCUCACCUUUUGAAUUUUUUUUCUCUUCUCCCUCACCCGGAGCCACACACAGCCGCCCUUGACCCGUAGCCCCAUCUCUUUCUUCCUCUUGAGACACAAACCAAAGCCAAACAGCCCCUCCCCCGAACAGCCGCUCAUUUUUUUUCCCCUUUCCCUGACCCGACAGCAACAUCAGAGUCUCUCAGCUGCUUCAUUCUCCCCUCUCAGCCGUUCCUUUCCAUUUCCAUCAACCCGGAACUUUCCCUCUCAGCUGUAGGAGCAA
rnacentral:lncRNA from 1 species